UACGUAGGGUGCGAGCGUUAAUCGGAAUUACUGGGCGUAAAGCGUGCGCAGGCGGUGAGCUGUGUCCGAUGUGAAAGCCCCGGGCUUAACCUGGGAAUGGCAUUGGAAACUGGCUCGCUGGAGUGUGGCAGAGGGGUGUGGAAUUCCGCGUGUAGCAGUGAAAUGCGUAGAUAUGGGGAGGAACACCGGUGGCGAAGGCGGCCAUCUGGACGGUAACUGACGCUGAGACGCGAAAGCGUGGGGAGCAAACAGG
rnacentral:rRNA from 1 species